rnacentral:other from 1 species
AAGCCUCUGCAGGAAACGAGAACCCGUCCCAGUGCUUCCUUUCCUAUGUUUAGAUAUUACGGGAGCUGGAUUAAGCCGGGGAAGUGCCAGGCGCUUUCAAGCGUUAGGCGUGAACCCGGUGACCGGCACCCACCUUGACUUAAAAGGUUAAGGAGCCUUUAGCGCGGAACGUCCCAUGUGGAGGCUUU